rnacentral:rRNA from 1 species
CGAAUGCUGACAUAAGUAACGAUAAAGCGGGUGAAAAGCCCGCUCGCCGGAAGACCAAGGGUUCCUGUCCAACGUUAAUCGGGGCAGGGUGAGUCGACCCCUAAGGCGAGGCCGAAAGGCGUAGUCGAUGGGAAACAGGUUAAUAUUCCUGUACUUGGUGUUACUGCGAAGGGGGGACGGAGAAGGCUAUGUUGGCCGGGCGACGGUUGUCCCGGUUUAAGCGUGUAGGCUGGUUUUCCAGGCAAAUCCGGAAAAUCAAGGCUGAGGCGUGAUGACGAGGCACUACGGUGCUGAAGCAACAAAUGCCCUGCUUCCAGGAAAAGCCUCUAAGCAUCAGGUAACAUCAAAUCGUACCCCAAACCGACACAGGUGGUCAGGUAGAGAAUACCAAGGCGCUUGAGAGAACUCGGGUGAAGGAACUAGGCAAAAUGGUGCCGUAACUUCGGGAGAAGGCACGCUGAUAUGUAGGUGAAGUCCCUCGCGGAUGGAGCUGAAAUCAGUCGAAGAUACCAGCUGGCUGCAACUGUUUAUUAAAAACACAGCACUGUGCAAACACGAAAGUGGACGUAUACGGUGUGACGCCUGCCCGGUGCCGGAAGGUUAAUUGAUGGGGUCAGCGCAAGCGAAGCUCUUGAUCGAAGCCCCGGUAAACGGCGGCCGUAACUAUAACGGUCCUAAGGUAGCGAAAUUCCUUGUCGGGUAAGUUCCGACCUGCACGAAUGGCGUAAUGAUGGCCAGGCUGUCUCCACCCGAGACUCAGUGAAAUUGAACUCGCUGUGAAGAUGCAGUGUACCCGCGGCAAGACGGAAAGACCCCGUGAACCUUUACUAUAGCUUGACACUGAACAUUGAGCCUUGAUGUGUAGGAUAGGUGGGAGGCUUUGAAGUGUGGACGCCAGUCUGCAUGGAGCCGACCUUGAAAUACCACCCUUUAAUGUUUGAUGUUCUAACGUGGACCCGUGAUCCGGGUUGCGGACAGUGUCUGGUGGGUAGUUUGACUGGGGCGGUCUCCUCCUAAAGAGUAACGGAGGAGCACGAAGGUUGGCUAAUCCUGGUCGGACAUCAGGAGGUUAGUGCAAUGGCAUAAGCCAGCUUGACUGCGAGCGUGACGGCGCGAGCAGGUGCGAAAGCAGGUCAUAGUGAUCCGGUGGUUCUGAAUGGAAGGGCCAUCGCUCAACGGAUAAAAGGUACUCCGGGGAUAACAGGCUGAUACCGCCCAAGAGUUCAUAUCGACGGCGGUGUUUGGCACCUCGAUGUCGGCUCAUCACAUCCUGGGGCUGAAGUAGGUCCCAAGGGUAUGGCUGUUCGCCAUUUAAAGUGGUACGCGAGCUGGGUUUAGAACGUCGUGAGACAGUUCGGUCCCUAUCUGCCGUGGGCGCUGGAGAACUGAGGGGGGCUGCUCCUAGUACGAGAGGACCGGAGUGGACGCAUCACUGGUGUUCGGGUUGUCAUGCCAAUGGCACUGCCCGGUAGCUAAAUGCGGAAGAGAUAAGUGCUGAAAGCAUCUAAGCACGAAACUUGCCCCGAGAUGAGUUCUCCCUGACCCUUUAAGGGUCCUGAAGGAACGUUGAAGACGACGACGUUGAUAGGCCGGGUGUGUAAGCGCAGCGAUGCGUUGAGCUAACCGGUACUAAUGAACCGUGAGGCUUAACCUUAC